UCCCUGGUGGCUCAGACGGUAAAGCGUCUGUCUACAAUGCAGGAGGCCCGGGUUCCAUCCCUGGGUUGGGAA
rfam:Ovis aries breed Texel chromosome 17, whole genome shotgun sequence.